UACGGAGGGUGCAAGCGUUAUCCGGAUUCACUGGGUUUAAAGGGAGCGUAGGUGGGCUGGUAAGUCAGUGGUGAAAUCUCCGGGCUUAACUCGGAAACUGCCGUUGAUACUAUCAGUCUUGAAUAUCGUGGAGGUAAGCGGAAUAUGUCAUGUAGCGGUGAAAUGCUUAGAUAUGCUAUAGAACACCGAUUGCGAAGGCAGCUUACUAAGCCGUUAUUGACGCUGAGGCACGAAAGCGUGGGGAGCAAACAGG
rnacentral:rRNA from 1 species